rnacentral:lncRNA from 1 species
AAGUAUUUUUUUCAACUUGGUUUUAUUCUCCCUAUCUGUUUCAGGUACCCCAAGCAGUCAUAGGUUUGGUGUCUUUACAUGGUUCCAUGUUUCUUGGAUAUUUUGUUCAUUGUUUCUCUAUUCUUGUCUGCCUGUCUUAUUUCAGAUAAGAGUGGUUUACAUACCACAAUUACCAUGUUAUAAUAUUCUGUGUUUUUCUUUGUGCUUACUAUUACCAGUGAGUUUUGUAUCUUCUCAUGAUUUCUUCUUGCUCAUUUACAUCUUUUCUUUCAGAUUGAAGAGCUUGUUCUUGCAGGACGUCUAGUGUUUGUGAAAUCCCUCAGCUUUUGUUUUUCUGGGAAUAUUCUUCAUACUUGAAGGAUAUUUUCACUGGAUAUAGUAUUCUAGGGUCAAAGUUUUUUUUAUUCCUUCAGCACUUUAAAUAUUUCAUGCCACUCUUUCCUAGCCCAUAUGGUUUCCACUGAAAGGUCUGCUGCCAAAUGUAUUGGAGCUCCACUGUUUGUUGUUUCUUUUCUGUUGCUGCUUUUAGGAUCCUUUCUUUAUUCUCAACCGUUGGGGACUUGAUUAUUGAUUGCCUUGUGAUAGUCUUUCAGUUAAAUCUGCUUGGUGUGCUAUAAUUUUCUUGUAGUUGAAUGUUGAUAUCUUUCUCUAGGUUUAGGAAGUUCUCUGAUAGUAUCCCUUUGAACAAACUUUUUACCCCCAUCUCUUUCUCUACCUCCCCUUUAGAGUCAAUAAGUGUUAGAUUUGCCCUUUUGAGGCUAUUUUUUGGAUCUUGUAGCCAUGCUUUCUUUCUAUUAUUUUUUUCUUUUGUCUCCUGUGUGUAUUUCCAAGUAGCCUGUUUUCAAGUUUAUUAAUUCUUUCUUCUGCUUAAUCAAGUAUGUGUUAAAAGACUGAUGCAUUCUUCUGUAUGCCACUGCAAUUUUUAGUUCCAGAAUUUUCUGUUUUAUUAUUUCUAAUUAUUUCAAUCUCUUUGUCAAAUUUAUCUGAUAGAAUCCUGAAUUCCUUCUCUGCAUUAUCUUGAAUUUCUUCGAGUUUCCUCAAACUAGCUAUUGUGAGUUCUCUGCCUGAAAGGUUCCUCCAAGAUUCGUCCACUGGCUCUGAGCCCAACCCAGCCCUAGGUGUUAUCUAGGAGUUGCAGUCCUUGUGUCCUAGACUGCUUUUCACAAGGACCCCAGAACAUUUUGGCCCAUGGUAGUGAGGCUUUCUGAAAAACUCAAGUUCUCACUGUUGCGAUGAGUGUUCACCUCUGGCUAGGUCUGGUCCAAAUGCUUGCUCCAUGCAUGGGUGCUGGCUGAGCCCAGCAUUUCUUUGAUCUCUGCAGUGACUGUGCAGCAGUGAAUUCAAUGUAAAGUAUGCCAGUCACUGCUCUCUCCCUCCCCAAGUGCACAGACUCUGCAUGACACGGCCAUUAUUUGAGGGAUGGGGGGAAGAGUGGUGUCAACAAUUUGACUGACUCUCCU